UCAAAUCCCUAAAUCCCUUACUAUAAAUGAUUCACUUUGAACACACGCAACAAAGAAUCGGCAGCUUCCCCUGGCUACACUCCGCUUCUUCAUUUUUCCUCUAAACAACGAAGGAGCCUCUCUUCCAUCUCCCAUCUUCUCUCUCUCACGAUCCCUCUCGAUUUCCAUCGGAAAACACACUCACACCCGCUUGAAUUUGUUAAGAGAGGAAGGUUUCAAUUCAACUUUCAGAUCUAAAAAAAAAGGGGCUUAAAGCUAGUUUUGAGUUUCAUACAAUUGCUGCCUAUUUCUGGGCCUUUGCAAACUGUUUUGAGUUGAAGAAGUUGGUUUAGUUUCUGUUGUUCUUCCUUCUGUUUUGUUGUCGGUUUCGUCGAAUUCGUUGUUUGGAGCUGCUUGGAUUUCGAAAGUGUUGUUGAGUGCUGAAACUUCUGCUGGGUGCCGAUUUGGAGCAUUUCGCACCUGUUUGGCUUUCGGUACAUUAUCAUACAUUUCAUGAAUCAAGUAUGUAUUUUGUUAAAUGGCAUUACUUGCUUGAUGCUCUAUUUCUUGUAUAAGCAUGUAGUAUCCUAUGUACAAAUUUCUCAUUAGCUUGUUUAAUCAUGUAGCGUUUGUCUGCCUAUUUUCUUGUUCGAGUUUGCUCUUUACUUGAAAACUAAAUGGAUAUGAAGCUUUAAAGUGAUGUUUCCUAAAUUAAUUUA
rnacentral:lncRNA from 1 species